rnacentral:rRNA from 1 species
UACGUAGGGUCCGAGCGUUGUCCGGAAUUAUUGGGCGUAAAGAGCUCGUAGGCGGUUUGUCGCGUCUGCUGUGAAAUCCCGAGGCUCAACCUCGGGCCUGCAGUGGGUACGGGCAGACUGGAGUGCGGUAGGGGAGAAUGGAAUUCCUGGUGUAGCGGUGGAAUGCGCAGAUAUCAGGAAGAACACCCGUGGCGAAGGCGGUUCUCUGGGACGGUACUGACGCUGAGACGCGAAAGCGCGGGGAUCAAACAGG